rnacentral:rRNA from 1 species
GUAAGGCUUACCAAGGCUUCGAUCAGUAGCUGGUCUGAGAGGACGACCAGCCACACUGGGACUGAGACACGGCCCAGACUCCUACGGGAGGCAGCAGUGGGGAAUUUUGGACAAUGGGGGAAACCCUGAUCCAGCCAUGCCGCGUGAGUGAAGAAGGCCUUCGGGUUGUAAAGCUCUUUCAGCCGGAAAGAAAAGGUUGCGGUUAAUACCUGUGACUAAUGACGGUACCGGAAGAAGAAGCACCGGCUAACUACGUGCCAGCAGCCGCGGUAAUACGUAGGGUGCGAGCGUUAAUCGGAAUUACUGGGCGUAAAGCGUGCGCAGGCGGUUUUGUAAGUCAGAUGUGAAAUCCCCGGGCUCAACCUGGGAACUGCGUUUGAAACUACAAAAGCUAGA